rnacentral:rRNA from 1 species
GGGUUGUGAGGUUAAGCGACUAAGCGUACACGGUGGAUGCCCUGGCAGUCAGAGGCGAUGAAGGACGUGCUAAUCUGCGAUAAGCGUCGGUGAGGUGAUAUGAACCGUUAUAACCGGCGAUUUCCGAAUGGGGAAACCCAGUGUGAUUCGUCACACUAUCAUUAACUGAAUCCAUAGGUUAAUGAGGCGAACCGGGGGAACUGAAACAUCUAAGUACCCCGAGGAAAAGAAAUCAACCGAGAUUCCCCCAGUAGCGGCGAGCGAACGGGGAGGAGCCCAGAGCCUGAAUCAGUGUGUGUGUUAGUGGAAGCGUCUGGAAAGGCGCGCGAUACAGGGUGACAGCCCCGUACACAAAAAUGCACAUAUUGUGAGCUCGAUGAGUAGGGCGGGACACGUGGUAUCCUGUCUGAAUAUGGGGGGACCAUCCUCCAAGGCUAAAUACUCCUGACUGACCGAUAGUGAACCAGUACCGUGAGGGAAAGGCGAAAAGAACCCCGGCGAGGGGAGUGAAAAAGAACCUGAAACCGUGUACGUACAAGCAGUGGGAGCCUCUUAAUGGGGUGACUGCGUACCUUUUGUAUAAUGGGUCAGCGACUUAUAUUCUGUAGCAAGGUUAACCGAAUAGGGGAGCCGAAGGGAAACCGAGUCUUAACUGGGCGUUAAGUUGCAGGGUAUAGACCCGAAACCCGGUGAUCUAGCCAUGGGCAGGUUGAAGGUUGGGUAACACUAACUGGAGGACCGAACCGACUAAUGUUGAAAAAUUAGCGGAUGACUUGUGGCUGGGGGUGAAAGGCCAAUCAAACCGGGAGAUAGCUGGUUCUCCCCGAAAGCUAUUUAGGUAGCGCCUCGUGAAUUCAUCUCCGGGGGUAGAGCACUGUUUCGGCAAGGGGGUCAUCCCGACUUACCAACCCGAUGCAAACUGCGAAUACCGGAGAAUGUUAUCACGGGAGACACACGGCGGGUGCUAACGUCCGUCGUGAAGAGGGAAACAACCCAGACCGCCAGCUAAGGUCCCAAAGUCAUGGUUAAGUGGGAAACGAUGUGGGAAGGCCCAGACAGCCAGGAUGUUGGCUUAGAAGCAGCCAUCAUUUAAAGAAAGCGUAAUAGCUCACUGGUCGAGUCGGCCUGCGCGGAAGAUGUAACGGGGCUAAACCAUGCACCGAAGCUGCGGCAGCGACACUAUGUGUUGUUGGGUAGGGGAGCGUUCUGUAAGCCUGUGAAGGUGGCCUGUGAGGGUUGCUGGAGGUAUCAGAAGUGCGAAUGCUGACAUAAGUAACGAUAAAGCGGGUGAAAAGCCCGCUCGCCGGAAGACCAAGGGUUCCUGUCCAACGUUAAUCGGGGCAGGGUGAGUCGACCCCUAAGGCGAGGCCGAAAGGCGUAGUCGAUGGGAAACAGGUUAAUAUUCCUGUACUUGGUGUUACUGCGAAGGGGGGACGGAGAAGGCUAUGUUGGCCGGGCGACGGUUGUCCCGGUUUAAGCGUGUAGGCUGGUUUUCCAGGCAAAUCCGGAAAAUCAAGGCUGAGGCGUGAUGACGAGGCACUACGGUGCUGAAGCGACAAAUGCCCUGCUUCCAGGAAAAGCCUCUAAGCAUCAGGUAACAUCAAAUCGUACCCCAAACCGACACAGGUGGUCAGGUAGAGAAUACCAAGGCGCUUGAGAGAACUCGGGUGAAGGAACUAGGCAAAAUGGUGCCGUAACUUCGGGAGAAGGCACGCUGAUAUGUAGGUGAAGCGACUUGCUCGUGGAGCUGAAAUCAGUCGAAGAUACCAGCUGGCUGCAACUGUUUAUUAAAAACACAGCACUGUGCAAACACGAAAGUGGACGUAUACGGUGUGACGCCUGCCCGGUGCCGGAAGGUUAAUUGAUGGGGUUAGCGGUAACGCGAAGCUCUUGAUCGAAGCCCCGGUAAACGGCGGCCGUAACUAUAACGGUCCUAAGGUAGCGAAAUUCCUUGUCGGGUAAGUUCCGACCUGCACGAAUGGCGUAAUGAUGGCCAGGCUGUCUCCACCCGAGACUCAGUGAAAUUGAACUCGCUGUGAAGAUGCAGUGUACCCGCGGCAAGACGGAAAGACCCCGUGAACCUUUACUAUAGCUUGACACUGAACAUUGAGCCUUGAUGUGUAGGAUAGGUGGGAGGCUUUGAAGUGUGGACGCCAGUCUGCAUGGAGCCGACCUUGAAAUACCACCCUUUAAUGUUUGAUGUUCUAACGUGGGCCCCUUACCGGGGUUGCGGACAGUGUCUGGUGGGUAGUUUGACUGGGGCGGUCUCCUCCUAAAGAGUAACGGAGGAGCACGAAGGUUGGCUAAUCCUGGUCGGACAUCAGGAGGUUAGUGCAAUGGCAUAAGCCAGCUUGACUGCGAGCGUGACGGCGCGAGCAGGUGCGAAAGCAGGUCAUAGUGAUCCGGUGGUUCUGAAUGGAAGGGCCAUCGCUCAACGGAUAAAAGGUACUCCGGGGAUAACAGGCUGAUACCGCCCAAGAGUUCAUAUCGACGGCGGUGUUUGGCACCUCGAUGUCGGCUCAUCACAUCCUGGGGCUGAAGUAGGUCCCAAGGGUAUGGCUGUUCGCCAUUUAAAGUGGUACGCGAGCUGGGUUUAGAACGUCGUGAGACAGUUCGGUCCCUAUCUGCCGUG